UACGUAGGGGCAAGCGUUAUCCGGAUUUACUGGGUGUAAAGGGAGCGUAGACGGUAUGGUAAGUCAGAUGUGAAAGGCUGGGGGCUCAACCCCGGGACUGCAUUUGAAACUAUCAAACUAGAGUGUCGGAGAGGUAAGUGGAAUUCCUAGUGUAGCGGUGAAAUGCGUAGAUACUAGGAGGAACACCAGUGGCGAAGGCGGCUUACUGGACGAUCACUGACGUUGAGGCUCGAAAGCGUGGGAGCAAACAGGAUUAGAUACCCUGGUAGUCCCUGA
rnacentral:rRNA from 1 species